CAACAGCAUUGUGUUUAUCUCUGUAUGUGUUUCUGAGAAGAGCUUGAAGAUCAGAGAUCUGUUACACAGCUGCUUGAGAUGAGCCUUGCAUCUGUUUCAAGACCAUUUUGCAAAUGUACAGUCUACAAAGGGACACUGCCUGACUGGCUGAGUUCUUCCAAAAUUCCUGUUUUUGUCCCAGGAUGUUGAUGCUGGAAGACUCAACAAUGCAUUGCCAUUGAAUAUGAAGGAUGCCAUUUCAUUGACUCUCCACUCAGCUCUGAAACACCUGGACAGUGAAGAUACCUACAUCAGGGUCCUCUUCAUCAACUACAGCUCGGCAUUCAAUACUCUCAUCCUCACAAAACUAAUCAUCCUCUCAAACUGCCUCCCAAUUUCACUUCUGAAAAAAUUCAACAGGAACACCAAGGUUCUGAGUGUUUAAACAAGCAGUCUGUUUAGAUAGAGAACAGGAAAAGAAGGAAGUAAUUUAGUGCUGUGUAUUUUAAUUAUGUUCUUUGUCUGUUGCACUUGUGGUAUUUCUUUGUAAUUACUGUGAACACCUGCAAGAAAAUGAAUCUCAGGGUUGUAUAAAGAGGGCAUAUCCUGGAUUGUGAAGACCUUGUUGAAACACUACCGUUUGAAGAUGUCCUCAAUAACCUGGAAAGCAGAUGGGUGUUUCUGUGGUUACAGACGUGAUUCCAGUGCCCUCCUGUUUAAAGAGAUUAUUAGGGGUUGAGUGUGAACAGCCAGAGGUCUGGUCCUGAUGCACCAUCUCGGAGACAGGAAGUGAACGAUAGGCUUUUAUUAGCAGCAAAACGGAGCACGGCAUCUCGGAGACUGAGGGAGGAGCAGUGCCUCCAAUCGCCUUUAUACAGGGGUCUGUGGGAGGAGCCACAGGAGCAGUCAGCAGAGGGGUAUGUCCAGACAGGUGUACAUAGUUUACUACAGGUCCUGACACUACCAACGAUAUGGGGAGAAAUGGGAUGAAGUCCUGAUAGAAGAUUUUAAUGAGCUAGGAAGAAUCAUAGAAAAUAUAUCCCAUAGGAAAACCAUUCAGCCAUUCAUGUCAGUGCUAGUCAUCAAAGAGCCAUGCAACUCAAUCUCAUCUUCCAGCCUUUAGCUCUGUGGGUCACUGCUCUUCAAGCACACAGACAAGUUUAAAUUCUGUUUGUUCAAGAUCUCUGCCUCCACUAUCCUUUCAGGCAAAGAAUUUGACCCUCACCACUUGAUUUCCGCAUCUCCACUUUAAUCCUUUUGCAAAGUACCUUAAAUUUACAGUACCUAUUUUUGACUCCUUUGAGGAAGUCUCACAUAAAUCUCCAUACAGUAUUGCUUCCAGUACCACACACCAUUUAGUACAACCAUUCCUCAAUUUAUGAAUGAGAAGUGUUCCUAGAAAUAAUUUUGUUGAGCAAAAUUUCAUAAGUAGUGAAGGCUGGAUGCAAUGCAUUGUGACCAUGUUGGUAUGCUGUAUUCUGAUUAGCAGAGAGUUUUGACCUGUUCAUUAUAGUAAGAAGUGGAUUCACAAAUCAAAGGCACACACCACAAAGAGUUAAUGAGGUUAAACUAAAAAAAUAUGUAAAUCCAGCAUUUGUAAAUCAAGGAGUGACUGUACAAAAACAGAGAAUAGUGCAAAUGUGUGUAUGUGGCUGGAGCGAUGAUGCAGGAAGGAGGGCUUUAGGUUCAAGGGGCAUUGGGGCUAGUUCUGGGAAAGGUCAGACCUGCACAGAACAGAUAAAUUUCCCUCAGCAGGCCAGAGAACAAUAUCCACACUCGCUGGCCUGUUGUGCUACUCAGGUUAAUAUAAAUUAGCUUGGCGAAGGAUGAGAAGCUUCAUAAGGGAGAAAAGCAGAACUGGAAAUCGAAGACAGGAAAUUAGAGUUUAAAAAGAAAAGGAAGCAAAGCUACAAGAUAACCAAAAAGAAGGUAUCCGCUUCAUGUCAUGGGCCUAAAUGCCUGAACUCCAGUGAAUAAGCCAGAUAAGCUGAAGGCACAGAUAGAUAUGUGGGUAUAAGUUGUCAAGACUAUUACUGAAAUGUGGGAUAGAAAGGGAAGUUUAAUUCUCCUGAUUACACAAUUUUUAGUCAAGGUAGAGCGUUUUAAAAAAAAAGAAGGAAUGUCAGUGUACGUUCAGGAAAUAAUCACAACUCUGAGAAGGAAUAUAGUUGAAAGAUCAACAAAUAAAACUUUCCAAGUCAAACUAAGAAACAGAAAAGGGAGCAGUUAUGCUGUUGGGCAAGUGCUAUUAAAGUUCAGUCUGAGAGAAAUAGAGAAGCAAAUUUCUGACAAGUCAUAAAUGCUGGGAGCUUCUGAUUCCCCUAAUGUUCACUGGGAUAUUACAGAGAGGAAAUUAAGAACCUGGUGGCAUGGUGCGAAAGCAAUAACCUAUCCUCAACGUCAGCAAGACGAAGCAAUUGGUUGUUGACUUCAGAAGGAGUAGUGGACCGCACGACCCCAUCUACAUCGGUGGUGCGCAGGUGGAACAGGUCAAAAGCUUUUAGUUCCUCAGGGUGAAUAUCACAAAUGACCUGACUUGGUCUAACCAAGCAGAGUCCACUGCCAAGGAGGCCAACCAGUGCCUUUACUUCCUGAGAAAGCUGAAGAAAUUUGGCCUGUCCCCUAAAACCCUCACUAAUUUUUAUAGGUGCACCAUAGAAAGCAUUCUUCUAGGGCAGGCAUGGGCAAACUACGGCCCGGGGGCCAUAUGCGGCCCGUUAAGCUUUUUAAUCCGGCCCGCAGAACUUGAUGAAAUUAUAUUAAUAAACCUUGUUAAUGUUUUUUCCCCGCAAUUCUGGCGUUUUCCCAAUAGAUGACGCACUCUAUAUACAUUUGUGGAGACCCAUUUCCUGGCACAUUCGAACCGGCUCACAAUUAGCCAGCGUUCCGGCUAAGGGAGAUAGCCUGCGGGGAUUUGCGAGCACAGAGCUUUGGAGCCUCUGCGCCACGGGGGGCAGGUUGAGGGAGGCUUAAAAGUGAGGCUGGGGAUUUCGAAUAAAGUUUUUUUCUUCGACUGCAGUUAUCGACUCCGUGUCGUAAUUUUAGCACUGCAUGUAGCACACCAAUACACAUUGACCUUUGUUGAGGUGCAGCGUAUUACUCCACAUUUGCGCUUUACUCUUUGUUCGGCUCGACCUAUUUGUGUGAACAGGCGUUCAGCAUCAUGAACAUCAACAAAGCCAGCCACAGAUCCAAGUUAACUGACCAACACCUCAGAUCCAUCCUGAGAAUCGCCACAACAAAACUAAAUCCAGACUUUGAUGCGCUGGCUAAAAAGGGAGACCAAGAACACUGUUCCCACUGAAAUUAAAAAUAAGUUUCUUCGUUGUGUUACGUAAAAAAUGCAUUUGAAAAUAAUUUUUUCAAUAAGCCUUACAUGUUACAUGUCAUUUCUGUUAAGUGAUGGACAUGAGUAGUGCGCAGGUGCACAUAUGUUCUCAAAAUAAAAAAUGCGCUCCAGAUCAAAUAACGCGCUCCGCAUACUGGCGCUCUGUCACUGUUCUGUCCUUGUGCUGGUCAUUGUUGAGUUUUGGCACAGGGGACAAUUGAAUAAGAAGGAGCAGGACAAGUAGACCUGCAUCUCCUACCGUUUUUGAA